GUGAAUCAUCAAAUUUUUGAACGCAAAUUGUACUCCCUGGUAUUCCGGGGAGUAUGCCUGUUUGAGGGUUGUUAGAAUAAAAAUCGAAGCGUCGCUCUUUUUUUUUCUGGGUGAUCGCGUCGGAAUUGAGUUGUCUAUCAAAUGUUAAUUAUUGCAAAAGUGGCUUGAAAUUAUUUCAUUCGGUAAGUUUUUAGC
rnacentral:misc_RNA from 1 species